AUUGAACGCUGGCGGAAUGCUUUACACAUGCAAGUCGAACGGCAGCACGGACUUCGGUCUGGUGGCGAGUGGCGAACGGGUGAGUAAUACAUCGGAACGUGCCCAAUCGUGGGGGAUAACGUAGCGAAAGCUACGCUAAUAUCGCAUACGAUCUAAGGAUGAAAGCGGGGGAUCGCAAGACCUCGCGCGAAUGGAGCGGCCGAUGGCAGAUUAGGUAGUUGGUGGGGUAAAGGCUCACCAAGCCGACGAUCUGUAGCUGGUCUGAGAGGACGGCCGGCCACACUGGGACUGAGACACGGCCCAGACGCCUACGGGAGGCAGCAGUGGGGAAGUUUGGACAAUGGACGCAAGUCUGAUCCAGCCAUUCCGCGUGCAGGAUGAAGGCCCUCGGGUUGUAAACUGCUUUUGUACAGAACGAAAAGGCUCUGGUUAAUACCUGGGGCUCAUGACGGUACUGUAAGAAUAAGCACCGGCUAACUACGUGCCAGCCGCCGCCGUAA
rnacentral:rRNA from 1 species